rnacentral:rRNA from 1 species
AUUGAACGCUGGCGGCAUGCUUUACACAUGCAAGUCGAACGGUAACAGGCCGCAAGGUGCUGACGAGUGGCGAACGGGUGAGUAAUGCAUCGGAACGUGCCCAGUCGUGGGGGAUAACGCAGCGAAAGCUGCGCUAAUACCGCAUACGAUCUAUGGAUGAAAGCGGGGGACCGUAAGGCCUCGCGCGAUUGGAGCGGCCGAUGUCAGAUUAGGUAGUUGGUGGGGUAAAGGCUCACCAAGCCAACGAUCUGUAGCUGGUCUGAGAGGACGACCAACCACACAGGGACUGAGACACGGCCCAGACUCCUACGGGAGGCAGCAGUGGGGAAUUUUGGACAAUGGGCGCAAGCCUGAUCCAGAAAUGCCGCGUGCAGGAAGAAGGCCUUCGGGUUGUAAACUGCUUUUGUACGGAACGAAACGGUCCUGGUUAAUACCCGGGGCUAAUGACGGUACCGUAAGAAUAAGCACCGGCUAACUACGUGCCAGCCGCCGCCGUAACAC